AUUCAAAGAGUGCGUAAUAGCUCACUAGUCGAGUGACCCUGCGCCGAAAAUGUAACGGGGCUAAACAGAUUACCGAAGCUGUGGAUUGGACCUAUGGUCCAGUGGUAGGAGAGCGUUCUAAGGGCGGUGAAGCAUGACCGUAAGGACAUGUGGAGCGCUUAGAAGUGAGAAUGCCGGUAUGAGUAGCGAAAGACGGGUGAGAAUCCCGUCCACCGAAUAACUAAGGUUUCCUGGGGAAGGCUCGUCCUCCCAGGGUUAGUCGGGACCUAAGGCGAGGCCGAUAGGCGUAGUCGAUGGACAACAGGUUGAUAUUCCUGUACUUCUAUAAAUCGUUUGAGCAAUGGAGGGACGCAGGAGGCUAAGAAAAGCGUACGACUGGAAGUGUACGCCCAAGCAGUGAGUCGGCUGAUGAGUCAAAUGCUUAUCACGGAUGCGACAAGCUGUAACGGGGAGGGAAGUUUAGUACCGAAGUUUCUGAUGUCACACUGCCGAGAAAAGCUUCUAGCAAGAUUUAUAGGACCCGUACCGCAAACCGACACAGGUAGUUGAGGAGAGAAUCCUAAGGUGAGCGAGCGAACUCUCGUUAAGGAACUCGGCAAAAUGACCCCGUAACUUCGGGAGAAGGGGUGCUGGUAGCAAUACCAGCCGCAGUGAAUAGGCCCAGGCGACUGUUUAUCAAAAACACAGGUCUCUGCAAAAUCGAAAGAUGACGUAUAGGGGCUGACGCCUGCCCGGUGCUGGAAGGUUAAGAGGAGAGGUUAGCGCAAGCGAAGCUUUGAAUUGAAGCCCCAGUAAACGGCGGCCGUAACUAUAACGGUCCUAAGGUAGCGAAAUUCCUUGUCGGGUAAGUUCCGACCCGCACGAAAGGCGUAACGAUUUGGGCACUGUCUCAACGAUGGACUCGGUGAAAUCAUAGUACCUGUGAAGAUGCAGGUUACCCGCGACAGGACGGAAAGACCCCAUGGAGCUUUACUGUAGUUUGAUAUUGAGUGUUUGUGUCACAUGUACAGGAUAGGUAGGAGCUGAAGAAUCCGGGACGCCAGUUUCGGAGGAGGCAACGGUGGGAUACUACCCUUGUGACAUGACCACUCUAACCCGCACCCCUAACCGGGGUGGGAGACAGUGUCAGACGGGCAGUUUGACUGGGGCGGUCGCCUCCUAAAAUGUAACGGAGGCGCCCAAAGGUUCCCUCAGAAUGGUUGGAAAUCAUUCGAAGAGUGUAAAGGCAGAAGGGAGCUUGACUGCGAGACCAACAAGUCGAGCAGGGACGAAAGUCGGGCUUAGUGAUCCGGUGGUACCGAGUGGAAGGGCCAUCGCUCAACGGAUAAAAGCUACCCCGGGGAUAACAGGCUUAUCUCCCCCAAGAGUUCACAUCGACGGGGAGGUUUGGCAC
rnacentral:rRNA from 1 species